UACAGAGGUCUCAAGCGUUGUUCGGAUUCAUUGGGCGUAAAGGGUGCGUAGGCGGCGUCGUAAGUCAGGUGUGAAAUUUCGGAGCUUAACUGUGGAACUGCUUGGUAUACUGCCAGUCUUGAGCCAGCUAGGGGCUACCGGAACAAAUGGUGGAGCGGUGAAAUGCGUAGAUAUCAUUUGGAACGCCAAUGGUGAAAACAGGUAGCUGGGGAUGUGCUGACGCUGAGACACGAAAGCCAGGGGAGCAAACGGG
rnacentral:rRNA from 1 species